GGAUAUCUCGGCUCUCGCAUCGAUGAAGAACGUAGCGAAAUGCGAUACUUGGUGUGAAUUGCAGAAUCCCGCGAACCAUCGAGUCUUUGAACGCAAGUUGCGCCCCAAGCCAUUAGGCCGAGGGCACGUCUGCCUGGGUGUCACGCAUCGUUGCCCCCAUCAAA
rnacentral:rRNA from 1 species